CCUAGGCUUUGAGCUGGCGGAAG
rnacentral:piRNA from 1 species